rnacentral:lncRNA from 1 species
GGGCUUUAAGUCCAAUUGUAACCACCCGGGGGAGGGGUGGAGUGAGAAAUAAAAUGGAUCUUUGUUAAUAACUGGUAAAUCUCAAUAAAAAAUUGCAGAAUAGAUCAGUACUAAAGAAAGGGAAGACAAACAGAAAAAAUAAACACAUAGACACCAAACCAAAGUUGGUUUAAUGCAACAUAAUUGAAUCAAAAUGAAUUUUGAAGCUAACAGAAAUCGUCUCACUUACCAUGUGCAAAACAUAUUCUUAGGAUCAAAGCAAAAAUAGAAGGGGGGAUAUAUGAUCCACCUCUUAGAUUGAAACAGAUCAAAUUUAAUUUUUAUAAUUUAAGGACCAGAUUAGUUUAGAAAAGCAAGCAAACCAAAUAUGCCAGAAAAUGAUUUCUGCAAACCAAUUGGCCAAUCUUUCUAAAACUUUUAGAUUAUCAAAUACUCCAAUUUCUUGGGAUUAGACUGAAAUGUAACAUCCCAAUUGCGAAGUAAAGAUGUUCAUAAAUGCCAGCAAAGAUAGAAUUUACAUUAUAUAAUCUCAUGAGUAAAAAAAAAUGAAGAUACAUAUAGGGACACAAUGUCACCUCCUAUGUUUUUUUUUCUUCUUUUGACAGAUAAAAAUCCAAUCUUUGACCCGAAUAACCCAAUUAGCAAACCGAAACAUGCAUGCAUUGAUAUAAUCUUUAUAAUAAUAUAUAUUUACAUUACGAAAUUAUCAAGAAAGCUUAAAAGAACCCCACAAUUUUAUAUCCCCGAAUGGGAUCUCGAUUUCCACCAAAAUUGAAGGAACAAAACGGACUGAAUAUAUAAGUUAUUAUACCACAGCUAAAAACCCAGAAAUCUAAAUACUAAAAAUCAACCAAAAAACAGAGUGAGGAUACCCACAAACACUAUAAUGCACAAAUAUGAAAUAAUCAAAGGAAAGCCAACAUACAUGGCUUGUCAACAAGAAGUAGAUGAAAAGAUCCGUAUACAUAACAGUUAAUGAUAACACCAAUUACAAAACACAUUAUUUACAGUAUAUCAUCUGAGUUCAAAAGAAACCAAUUUCAU